GCUGGGCGUGGUGGUGCACGCCUGUAAUCCCAGCUACUCAGGAGGCUGAGGCAGGAGAAUCGCUUGAACCCAGGAGGUGGAGGUUGCAGUGAGCUGAGAUCACACCACUGCACCCCAGCCUGAGUGACAGAGCGAGACUCUGUCUCAG
rnacentral:SRP_RNA from 1 species